UACGUAGGCAGCGAGCGUUGUUCGGAGUUACUGGGCGUAAAGGGUGUGUAGGCGGUUCUUUAAGUUUGGUGUGAAAUCUCCCGGCUCAACCGGGAGGGUGCGCCGAAUACUGAGGGACUAGAGUACGGGAGAGGAAAGUGGAAUUCCUGGUGUAGCGGUGAAAUGCGUAGAUAUCAGGAGGAACACCUGAGGUGAAGACGGGUUGCUGGGCUGACACUGACGCUGAGGCGCGAAAGCCAGGGGAGCAAACGGG
rnacentral:rRNA from 1 species